rnacentral:rRNA from 1 species
AGCGAACGCUGGCGGCAUGCCUAACACAUGCAAGUCGAACGAGACCUUCGGGUCUGGUGGCUCACGGGUGCGUAACGCGUGGGAACCUGCCCUUAGGUUCGGAAUAACUCCCCUAAAGGGGUGCUAAUACCGGAUAAUGUCUUCUGACCAAAGAUUUAUCGCCUUUGGAUGGGCCGGAGUUGGAUUAGCUAGUUGGUAUGGUAAAAGCCUACCAAGGCGACGAUCCAUAGCUGGUCUCAGAGGAUGAUACGCGACACUGGGAGUGAGACACGGUGCAGAAUAUUACGCGAGGGAGGAGUGGGGAAUAUUGGAAAACGGGGGAAAGGAUGAACCCGUAAGGCCGGGUGAGUGAUGAAGGCCGUAGGGAUGUACAGCUCUUUUACCCGGGACGAUAAUGACAGUACCGGGAGAAUAAGCUCCGGCUAACUUCGUG